AAAAAAGGUAAGCUACUAAGAGCGAAUGGUGGAUGCCUUGACUGGUAAAGGCGAUGAAGGACGUACUAGACUGCGAUAAGCUACGGGGAGCUGUCAAGAAGCUUUGAUCCGUAGAUUUCCGAAUGGGGCAACCCAAUGUAUAGAGAUAUACAUUACCUAUAUAGGAGCGAACGAGGGGAAUUGAAACAUCUUAGUACCCUCAGGAAAAGAAAUCAAUAGAGAUUGCGUCAGUAGCGGCGAGCGAAAGCGCAAGAGGGCAAACCCAGUGCUUGCACUGGGGGUUGUAGGACUGCAAUGUGCAAGAGCUGAGUUUAGCAGAACAUUCUGGAAAGUAUAGCCAUAGAGGGUGAUAGUCCCGUAUGCGAAAAACAAAGCUUAGCUAGCAGUAUCCUGAGUAGGGCGGGACACGAGGAAUCCUGUCUGAAUCCGGGUCGACCACGAUCCAACCCUAAAUACUAAUACCAGAUCGAUAGUGCACAAGUACCGUGAGGGAAAGGUGAAAAGAACUGAGGUGAUCAGAGUGAAAUAGAACCUGAAACCAUUUGCUUACAAUCAUUCAGAGCACUAUGUAGCAAUACAGUGUGAUGGACUGCCUUUUGCAUAAUGAGCCUGCGAGUUGUGGUGUCUGGCAAGGUUAAGCAAACGCGAAGCCGUAGCGAAAGCGAGUCUGAAUAGGGCGCUUAGUCAGAUGCUGCAGACCCGAAACGAAGUGAUCUAUCCAUGAGCAAGUUGAAGCUAGUGUAAGAACUAGUGGAGGACUGAACCCAUAGGCGUUGAAAAGCCCCGGGAUGACUUGUGGAUAGGGGUGAAAGGCCAAUCAAACUUCGUGAUAGCUGGUUCUCUCCGAAAUAUAUUUAGGUAUAGCGUUGUGUCGUAAUAUAAGGGGGUAGAGCACUGAAUGGGCUAGGGCAUACACCAAUGUACCAAACCCUAUCAAACUCCGAAUACCUUAUAUGUAAUCACAGCAGUCAGGCGGCGAGUGAUAAAAUCCGUCGUCAAGAGGGAAACAACCCAGACUACCAGCUAAGGUCCCUAAAUCUUACUUAAGUGGAAAACGAUGUGAAGUUACUUAAACAACCAGGAGGUUGGCUUAGAAGCAGCCAUCCUUUAAAGAAAGCGUAAUAGCUCACUGGUCUAGUGAUUUUGCGCGGAAAAUAUAACGGGGCUAAAGUAAGUACCGAAGCUGUAGACUUGCACACAACUUAGAUUAUUUAAGUUUAGAAUAAGUAGUUUAAGUUGUGUGCAAGUGGUAGGAGAGCGUUCUAUUUGCGUCGAAGGUAUACCGGUAAGGAGUGCUGGAGCGAAUAGAAGUGAGCAUGCAGGCAUGAGUAGCGAUAAUUAAUGUGAGAAUCAUUAACGCCGUAAACCCAAGGUUUCCUACGCGAUGCUCGUCAUCGUAGGGUUAGUCGGGUCCUAAGUCGAGUCCGAAAGGGGUAGACGAUGGCAAAUUGGUUAAUAUUCCAAUACCAACAUUAGUGUGCGAUGGAAGGACGCUUAGGGCUAAGGGGGCUAGCGGAUGGAAGUGCUAGUCUAAGGUCGUAGGAGGCUAUACAGGCAAAUCCGUAUAACAAUACUCCGAGAACUGAAAGGCUUUUUGAAGUCUUCGGAUGGAUAGAAGAACCCCUGAUGCCGUCGAGCCAAGAAAAGUUUCUAAGUUUAGCUAAUGUUGCCCGUACCGUAAACCGACACAGGUGGGUGGGAUGAGUAUUCUAAGGCGCGUGGAAGAACUCUCUUUAAGGAACUCUGCAAAAUAGCACCGUAUCUUCGGUAUAAGGUGUGGUUAGCUUCGUACUAGGAUUUACUCCGAAAGCGAAGAAACUUACAACAAAGAGUCCCUCCCGACUGUUUACCAAAAACACAGCACUCUGCUAACUCGUAAGAGGAUGUAUAGGGUGUGACGCCUGCCCGGUGCUCGAAGGUUAAUUGAUGGGGUUAGCAUUAGCGAAGCUCUUGAUCGAAGCCCGAGUAAACGGCGGCCGUAACUAUAACGGUCCUAAGGUAGCGAAAUUCCUUGUCGGUUAAAUACCGACCUGCAUGAAUGGCGUAACGAGAUGGGAGCUGUCUCAAAGAGGGAUCCAGUGAAAUUGUAGUGGAGGUGAAAAUUCCUCCUACCCGCGGCAAGACGGAAAGACCCCGUGGACCUUUACUACAGCUUGACACUGCUACUUGGAUAAGA
rnacentral:rRNA from 1 species